GACACAUGGGGACACUGUGAGAAAUAGGGACAUUGGGAGACAUUGGGACACGGAGACACUAUGACCCAUUUCUCCCAGUGUCCCACAUCCAGUGUCACUAGUGUCUCAGUGUCCCCAAGUCUCCCAGUGUCUGUGUUCCUAGUGUCUCAGUGUGCCU